rnacentral:rRNA from 1 species
GACGUAGGUGGCGAACGUUAUCCGGAAUUAUUGGGCGUAAAGGGUGCGUAGACGGUUAAGUAAGUUAGUGGUGGUAAAUCAGAGCUCAACUCUGUGGAAGUUGCUAAUACUGUUUUUAACUUGAGAGCAGAAGAGGUUAACGGAAUUCUCUGUGGAGCGGUGAAAUGCAUAGAUAUAGAGAAGAACACCAAAAGGCGAAGGA